rnacentral:rRNA from 1 species
AGUGGCGGACGGGUGAGUAACGCGUGAGAAUCUGCCUUGGGGUCGGGGACAACCACUGGAAACGGUGGCUAAUACCGGAUAAGCCGAUUGGUGAAAGAUUUAUUGCCCGAAGAGGAGCUCGCGUCUGAUUAGCUAGUUGGUGAGGUAAGAGCUCACCAAGGCAGCGAUCAGUAGCUGGUCUGAGAGGACGAUCAGCCACACUGGGACUGAGACACGGCCCAGACUCCUACGGGAGGCAGCAGUGGGGAAUUUUCCGCAAUGGGCGAAAGCCUGACGGAGCAAGACCGCGUGAGGGAGGAAGGCUCUUGGGUUGUAAACCUCUUUUCUCAGGGAAGAAGCUCUGACGGUACCUGAGGAAUCAGCCUCGGCUAACUCCGUGCCAGCAGUCGCGGUAAUACGGAGGAGGCAAGCGUUAUCCGGAAUUAUUGGGCGUAAAGCGUCCGCAGGUGGCGAUUCAAGUCUGCUGUCAAAGCACGGGGCUUAACUCCGUAAAGGCAGUGGAAACUGAAUAGCUUGAGUGCCGUAGGGGUAGAGGGAAUUCCCGGUGUAGCGGUGAAAUGCGUAGAGAUCGGGAAGAACAUCGGUGGCGAAAGCGCUCUACUGGACGGCAACCGACACUCAGGGACGAAAGCUAGGGGAGCGAAUGGGAUUAGAUACCCC